rnacentral:lncRNA from 1 species
AGAUCUAAGUUGCACUAAGGUGAAUGCAGUGAACAGACUGCUCCCUCCUGCUUAAUCAUAUCCAUUCCAGGCAGCUGGUUUGGGAACAGGUUGCCUCCCCUCAGAGCAGGACUCGGGACCCAUGGAGGACAGCCCUGACGUAGGCACGGAGGUCACUGAGGUCAUGCUGAUCUGUCCUGUCAUCUGGUUCAUGCUGCUCAUGCCACCUGUGUUGGUCGCCAUGGACACAUUGAUGUUCAUGUUGUUACUGUACAUGCUGGUGUUUGCUUGCUGCCCAAAGUGUGGUGGGGACUGCUGUUUCCGCCCAUGUUCCCCUGCGCCCAUCCAUUUAUGUCGGAGGGGGCCUGAUAGGCUGGGUUGGCCUGAGACUGUUGCAUCAUGGGACUCUGUGUAUGUGCCAUUCGGGGUGACAUAAGUGGGCUCUGGGGAGUCGUAGCCCCAGUAAAGCCUGGAUCAGGUUGCAUGCUUGGUGUCAUAUUCAACCCUUGUCCUCUCAUCAUCAAAGUUCGUUGCUGAACUUGCUGUUGCUGAUGCAUUUGUCUCUGUCGAAGAUGCUGGUUCAGGAUUUCCCUCUGUCUCUGGGCCAGCAUCUGUGCAUUAAUAGGUCUUGAGCGAGGUUCCAUGUGUAGACCCAGAACCAGGCAAGCUACCUGUGGAGUCUUUGUUUGUAUCCGACAAAGAGCUGGCUAAGGGCGAGGGCUCCAUCUGAUCAGAUUUGGUGGUCAGCAGCUGCAGGAGUUUGGUCUGCCCUUUGCUGUCAUGCAGUAGGAUGGCAGCUGCUCUCUGCUUGUCCAGUUGUACCUUCAGAGGGCUCCCCAUAUAGUCCAAAACAGUCUUUUGAGUCCAAGCUUCCCAUCUUGCUGAGUGGGGGAGGAUUCAUAUUAACUGGGGAGUUUUGCAAAUUGCCCAUUUUUAGGUCUGGUGAAGCCAACGAUGACCCUAAUGAGACCCCGUGCCCCUCGCUGAGGGCCUGAAGUGCAUUGAGGGAGCUGUUGGUAUAACUAUGGCUAUUUCCUGUGCUGCUGCAAACUCCCACAGGGGAAUGCAAGCUUCCUGCAGGGGAAAACUGACUGGGCGAGUAGUAAAACUUUCUGAUGAGGGAAGAACUGGUCUUUCCUUCAUGGGAACUCUUCUUGCCACGCAAAUCAAGCAGGACUGCAAAUCUUGAGAGACAGCGAAGCACUGCAUAGUUUCAUAUUUCUGAUGAGCUUCCUGGUUAUCAUGACCCUCCUCUUCUGAAUCAGGUAAAGGUUUUACCAGCAUCCGACAAUUGAAGGUGCUUCACAGUUUCUUUUAAGAUUGCACAUUUGUCAGGUUUGAAGUUAAAGUUGUCUAUAUCAUUAAAAUUUGCAAAAAUCA